AUUGAACGCUGGCGGCGUGCUUAACACGUGCAAGUCGUGCGGUAACAGGCGUAGCAAUACGUGCUGACGAGCGGCGAACGGGUGCGUAAUACAUGGGAAUCUGCCCUUUAGUGGGGAAUAACCCGGCGAAAGCCGGGCUAAUGCCGCAUAAGAUCUUCGGAUGAAAGCGGGGGAUCGUAAGACCUCGCGCUGUUGGAUGAGCCCAUGUCGGAUUAGCUAGUUGGNGAGGUAACGGCUCACCAAGGCGACGAUCCGUAGCUGGUCUGAGAGGACGGCCAGCCGCACUGGGACUGAGACACGGCCCAGACUCCUACGGGAGGCAGCAGUGGGGAAUAUUGGACAAUGGGGAAACCCUGAUCCAGCGACGCCGCGUGUGUGAAGAAGG
rnacentral:rRNA from 1 species